rnacentral:lncRNA from 1 species
GCCGCCAUGUGUGUGUACACAACUGUGUAAUGUUCCUCCAAUAAUAGGAGCACCUAUAUAAUUUUGGGACGUCUCGGGUGUUUCCCUAUGAUAAUAGAACCAUGUGAUUUAACGUCUCGGGUGUUUUCCUAUUGCAAUAGUAGAACCAUGCGGUCUAACUGAUAACCCGAAAAACGUAAUUAACCAUCAUUCAUGAUAUAUUUUUUUA